rnacentral:rRNA from 1 species
UACGGGGGGAGCAAGCGUUGUUCGGAUUUACUGGGCGUAAAGGGCGCGUAGGCGGCGUGACAAGUCACUUGUGAAAUCUCCGGGCUUAACUCGGAGCGGCCAAGUGAUACUGUCGUGCUAGAGUGCGGAAGGGGCUACUGGAAUUCCUGGUGUAGCGGUGGAAUGCGCAGAUAUCAGGAGGAACACCAAUAGCGAAGGCAGCUCGCUGGGACGUACUGACACUGAGGCGCGAAAGCGUGGGGAGCGAACAGG